UCGAGAAUAAUUCGCAAUGGACGAAAGUCUGACGAUGCGACGCCGUGUGAACGAUGAAGGCCUUCGGGUCGUAAAGUUCUGUCGCCAGGGAACAAGGUUGUGAGAGGAAUAUUCUUGCAAUUUGAGGGUACCUGGAAAGGAAGCACCGGCUAACUCCGUGCCAGCAGCUGCGGUAAUACGGAGGGUGCAAGCGUUAGUCGGAAUUACUGGGCGUAAAGGGCGCGUAGGCGGGAAUGUAAGUCAGAUGUGAAAUACCGAAGCUCAACUUCGGCUGUGCAUCUGAAACUAUAUUUCUGGAGGAAGAGCGGAGAAAACGGAAUUCCACGUGUAGCGGUGAAAUGCGUAGAUAUGUGGAAGAACACCUGUGGCGAAAGCGGUUUUCUAGCUUAUUCCUGACGCU
rnacentral:rRNA from 1 species